GAUGAACGCUGGCGGCGUGCCUAAUACAUGCAAGUCGAGCGAACGGACGAGAAGCUUGCUUCUCUGAUGUUAGCGGCGGACGGGUGAGUAACACGUGGAUAACCUACCUAUAAGACUGGGAUAACUUCGGGAAACCGGAGCUAAUACCGGAUAAUAUUUUGAACCGCAUGGUUCAAAAGUGAAAGACGGUCUUGCUGUCACUUAUAGAUGGAUCCGCGCUGCAUUAGCUAGUUGGUAAGGUAACGGCUUACCAAGGCAACGAUGCAUAGCCGACCUGAGAGGGUGAUCGGCCACACUGGAACUGAGACACGGUCCAGGCUCCUACGGGAGGCAGCAGUAGGGAAUCUUCGGCAAUGGGCGGAAGCCUGACGGAGCAGCGCCGCGUGAGUGAUGGAGGUCUUCGGAUCGUAAAGCUCUGUUAUUGGGGAAGAACAGAUGUGUAAGUAACUGUGCACAUCUUGACGGUACCUGAUCAGGAAGCCACGGCUAACUACGUG
rnacentral:rRNA from 1 species